AGCAGUAUGGUGUAAUGGUGCACACGGGAUUUUAUUGCGACUUGGAAGAUGGGUUAUUCCCGAGGUCCUUGUUCGGAUCAAGGUACUGCUU